rnacentral:rRNA from 1 species
UGGGGAAUUUUGGACAAUGGGCGCAAGCCUGAUCCAGCCAUUCCGCGUGCAGGACGAAGGCCUUCGGGUUGUAAACUGCUUUUGUACGGAACGAAAAGGCUCUGGCUAAUACCUGGGGCUCAUGACGGUACCGUAAGAAUAAGCACCGGCUAACUACGUGCCAGCCGCCGCGGUAAUACGUAGGGUGCAAGCGUUAAUCGGAAUUACUGGGCGUAAAGCGUGCGCAGGCGGUUAUGUAAGACAGAGGUGAAAUCCCCGGGCUCAACCUGGGAACUGCCUUUGUGACUGCAUAGCUGGAGUACGGCAGAGGGGGAUGGAAUUCCGCGUGUAGCAGUGAAGUGCGUAGAUAUGCGGAGGAACACCGAGGGCGAAGGCAAUCCCCUGGGCCUGUACUGACGCUCAUGCACGAAAGCGUGGGGAGCAAACAG